GAUGAACGCUGGCGGCGUGCCUAAUACAUGCAAGUCGAGCGAACAGACGAGGAGCUUGCUCCUCUGACGUUAGCGGCGGACGGGUGAGUAACACGUGGAUAACCUACCUAUAAGACUGGGAUAACUUCGGGAAACCGGAGCUAAUACCGGAUAAUAUAUUGAACCGCAUGGUUCAAUAGUGAAAGACGGUUUUGCUGUCACUUAUAGAUGGAUCCGCGCCGCAUUAGCUAGUUGGUAAGGUAACGGCUUACCAAGGCAACGAUGCGUAGCCGACCUGAGAGGGGGAUCGGCCACACUGGAACUGAGACACGGUCCAGACUCCUACGGGAGGCAACAGUAGGGAAUCUUCCGCAAUGGGCGAAAGCCUGACGGAGCAACGCCGCGUGAGUGAUGAAGGUCUUCGGAUCGUAAAACUCUGUUAUUAGGGAAGAACAAAUGUGUAAGUAACUAUGCACGUCUUGACGGUACCUAAUCAGAAGGCCACGGCUAACUACGUG
rnacentral:rRNA from 1 species